CUUUUGCUGGCGACCGGCGCACGGGUGAGUAACACGUAUCCAACCUGCCCUUUACUCGGGGAUAGCCUUUCGAAAGGAAGAUUAAUACCCGAUAGCAUAAUGAUUCCGCAUGGUUUCAUUAUUAAAGGAUUCCGGUAAAGGAUGGGGAUGCGUUCCAUUAGGUUGUUGGUGAGGUAACGGCUCACCAAGCCUUCGAUGGAUAGGGGUUCUGAGAGGAAGGUCCCCCACAUUGGAACUGAGACACGGUCCAA
rnacentral:rRNA from 1 species